rnacentral:tRNA from 1 species
UCAGAAAAUAGUUUAAAUAAAAAAUGAUAACUUUGGGAGUUAUUGAUGUGAGUGUAAUUCUUGUUUUUCUGAA